UAUUCAUUUGGGCCUAACUCGGGUGGGUGGCAGGCGUAAAGCACACAUGUGGCGGUGGGGCUCAGGCAGCUUUUGGCAGAAAUAUUUAUCGUAACACUCUCCCUCCAACAAGGCCACACCUGCUAAUCCUUCUCAGGUAUUGCCACUCUUUGAUGACUGAUCAUUCAAAUAUAUGAGCCUAUGGGGGCCAUUCUUAUUCAAACCGCCACACAAGAGGUCAUGGAAGUAGCAUAAGUUAAUGAAGUAAGCUGGUACCAGGGAGACAGUGGGAGUAUCAGGCACUGUGGUGAACUGUCAAGACCAAGGCCAGCUGGAGGAUAUUUGCUCUGGCCAUUAUUUAAAAGAAGAUUGAUACGCAGGUCUUUGUGAACAGUUCCUGGUUUACAGGUGUUGUUUGAUAACUUAAAUCAAAGGAGAAUGGAUCUUCCAAUAAGGCAGAACAAAACCUGUCAGAAGUUUAAAUUUUUAUUCUGAGCUGUAUUUUUCAGCAUGAAGAUAGAACAUGGAAAUAGAGUGGGAACUGACACUGCCUACCCUGCCAGAGAAUGUAGGCAGCACAUGUGGCCAGUCCUGCUCCAUAGAAGACAAAAUUGAAGCAGAGAGAGUCUUUCAACUUCCCCCAACCACAUUUCUCUGUGUGACAAGAGACAAUUGGGCUACCUCCUAGCUGGCCUGUAAUUGGAUGGGUAGAAAGCACUUUCAACAGUCCCAGUGAUCACACUCUCAGUAGUCAUUGUGCUUUAAUUGCAUUCUCUCAGGUUAGGUAUUUUUUGGAAAACAUUGAUAAAUCUUUUGUCUUCUCUUAGUAUCUAGGUCUCCUCUGAUAAAUGUCACAACAUUGUGUUUGGAGUUUGCAGUGGUUGGGGACUUUUGAAGUUGGAUUAAAUGUAUUUUGCAUUAUGAUAUUGUUGCAAGCUUAUAGGGGUCAGGGAUGGAAAUUGGUAGUUUGAAUGUAAUUGGCCCCCAUAAUCUCGUAGGGAGUGGCACUUUUAGGAGGUGUGGCUUUGUUGGAUAGGUAUGGCCUUGUUGGAGGAAGUGUGUUACUGUAGGGGAGGGCUUUGAGGUUUCAUAUAUGCGCAAGCCAUGCUCAGUGUCUCAGACCACUUCCUGUUGCCUACAAGUCAAGAUGUAGGACUCUCAGCUCUGUCUCCAGCACCAUGACUGCUGCAUGCUACCAUGAUUGAUAAUGGACUAAUCAUCUGAAAAUGUAAGCCACCCAAUUAAAUGUUUUCCUUCAUAAGAAUUGCCAUGGUCAUGGUGUCUCUUCACAACAAUAGAAACCCUAACUAAGAUAGAGUUUUAUCUCUCAUUGUUCCUGUUUCGGCUCAUCUCUCAUUUUCUUACUUCUUUUCCCCUGCUCCUCCUCUGCUAUGUGUCAAGUCCAAAGGAAACUGGAUUUUCCCAAAUCCUGAUGGUUAGCCAAAAGCUAGCAGUCCUUAUGAACUUGUGAAACUGGUUCCUUCUACCAAAGGAGCUGUUUCCCUUAGCACUGGAAGAAGGGGCAAAUGACUAUCUGUGGUGCCUAUUAGCAUAUCCAAGUGCAUGCUGGCCUUCAGGCUCUCUCAGCAUCACAAGUACCUGUUACACAUUUCAGAGUCUAUGCUAGCAUCUCAGCUAUUCUCACCUUUUCCUCCAUCCUAAACUUCUAGAACUCAUGGGCUCCCCUCCUCCCAGCUUCUCAUUUCUUUUUAUAACCAUGUUAUUUUAGCUAUGUAUUCUCUGGAUACUUCCUUUGUCUUCUUCCCCCACCCCCCUUUCCCUACCUCUCUCUCUGCUCUGCUCUACUCCUGUUUCCCUCAUAGCCAGAUCCAGUUUGCUGGCCAUGGUCACUUUACUGCUUUCUUUCUCUGCUCUGAACUCUUCCAGAUGCCUCUAGCUGUUUUCUCCCUCGUAUCUACAACAAAAAACCUUUCCCACAACCAUACCACGGAGUCAGUCAUGUGGUCAGUUUAUACACUACAUACAUUCAAAGAGUAACAUCUUUUGCCACCAAGUGAAACCUCCAGUGUCAGAAACAGGUUAAAUAUAAUUAAGUUGUUGGGAAAAAAAUGGGCUACCAUGGAAUUCCCCAAACAACUUGGGCUAUUGCCAAGGCUAUUGAUUGCUUUCCAGAAACUGAUGGCAAGGCCCAAUUGCUGAAGACGGCUCUUACGUGCCUCAUUGAACCCAGAGAAGCAAAGGUAGGGCCUACUUAGAGUCUUCACUUCUGCUGACUAGUAUUCACAGAACUGGAAGGUACUUGGUACACUACCAUAGGAUAAUGAUAAUCACCAAGGCAGCUACAAACCCUUCGAUCUACAAUGGUGACCCACAUGCAUGAUGCACUGGUAUAACUGUGGCACAAAAAUUGUGGGAGUGACUACCACUAUUUGAUUCAAUUUAAGGCCUACUCCGUUAGACAGAACCUAUGACUGAUACAGGUUAGGUGGCCAAGAUCUCAAGACUAGGUAAUCAGGCAGUGGGUCUAGGUGAAAUACUAUUGUUAUGCUACUAGAACAGCAAUUCAAUGACUCCUAAUGACAUUCUGUGAUACUCAUAGAUCAGUGUUUCAUUUAGCAUUAUCCUCUUGCUGUAGAUGGGAACUAAUACAGAAGCUCACAACAGGACAAAGUUCAGAAAGUGAGAGACCUUAGGAUACUCACUCCUAAAUGUGGUAUUUUUAUCACACUCCUUCCCUCAGGAGGUGGGGUAGGGGAAACCUUGCAGAAGAGGAGGCAGAAAGAUUGUAAGAGCCAGAGGGGAUGGAUGACACCAAAGAAACAGUAUCUUCUAGAUUCAGCAAGACUGACACACAUACUGACCUACAGGGACUGGCAGGAUGUACAAGGCCUGCACAGGUCCAGGCCAGAUGGGGUCUUAGCACUGAGAGGGGGAAGUGGACGUGAGCUCCCAUUCUAUACUAAAAAAUUAUCUCUGAUGAUAACUGCUUGCAAAGGAAAAAUUAGUUCUCUCCAACGGAGUCUCACUGGGCAUACAAACCACGCUUGUGAGUGGGCCCAUACCUAGCAGCAGAUAGCCAACAUUAAAUGAACUCAAUGAUAUUUUUGUAGAUGUUUUUUUUUUCUCACAUGACUUUGGCAUUUUGGGUUUUGUUUGUUUUUUUACCUUACUGGUUUUUGUUUGAAUAUUAUGGUUCCCAAUUUUGUAUUUUUGUUUUGUUUUGUUUUUAUUCAUUUAUUUAUUUUACAUCCUGGCUGCAGCCUCCCUCCAUCCUCCCCUUCCAGUCCCUGCUCCCCAUCCCCAUCCCCCAAUCCUCUCCAUCUCCAUCCAGAAAGGUCAGAUCUUCCAUGAGUAUCAAUAAAACAUGGCAUAUCAAAUUAUAGUAAGACUGUGCACCUUCCCGUGUAUUAAGGCUUGGCAAGGCAACUGAGUAUGAGAAGUGGGGUUCCAAAAGCCAGUAAAAGAGUCAGAGACAGCUCCUGUUCCUGCAGUUAGGAGUUCCACAAGAGGAACAAGCUACCAAUUUUAUGUUUUUAUGGGUUUUAUUUUUGUGUUCAUAUGUGUCUCUUUGUGCAUAUUCUCAUGCUUUUCUUUUCUUUUAAAUCUGGUUUGUUUUUAUUUGCCUGUUUGUUUUCUAAAGAAAGAGAAAGAAGAAAUAGAGUUGGAUGGAUAGGGAGGUGGAAAGGAUCUGGAAGGAGAUGGGGUAAGGAAAACUAUGAUCAGAAUAUAGUGUAUAAAAUUAUUUUCAAUAAAAAUAAAAUAAAUGGCAGUAAGAAAAAAAUUGACACAUUAGAAUCCCAAGAAAUGUGUACCUUGACUUACAAGGAUUGAUUCAUUCACUUUGGUCCAGUGUACAUUUUCAUUUUUACCAGUAACUUCUUGUAUUUUUAAAAUAUUCUUCUUAUUAUUCAUUUACAUGUAUGCAUGUUUAUCUGUGUAUGUGUAUGUGCCUGAGUUGGUCAGAGGCAUGUCACAUCCUCUGGAGCUGGAGUUAUAGGCAGGUGUGAGUUGCCUGAUGUGGGUGCUGGAAAUUCAACUUGAGUCUUCUGUUCUUACAUACUCUUAACUACGGAGCCAUCUCUCCAGCUGUACCCACCCCCCCCACCAGUAACAUUAAAAACAUUAUCUUUAUGUGACUUUUACAAGUGUCUUUAAUUUUCUUCAGAAGUAAGAAGAAGACCUCAUUUGCAGUGUUUGGCUCUGUCUUGUUUUUCUGUGUAUCUGUCUCUAAACAUAUGAACCCAACAAGCCUCCGCUCACCAUCAGGUUGAAAAUGAAUUGAAAACAAUUCCAGGCUCCUGGUUUGUCCUGCCAGUGACCUUUGUUGCAUUCCAGGAGGAGGUGUCGUCUGUGGGUUCUGCCCUGGGGCCAGUGGUGUCUCUUGGUGACUGCCCAGCACCAGCUGUCUCUCACCCCCAAGGGCAAUCAUGUGCCUGCCACAGAUCUGAAUCAUCACUGCAGGGACAAAAGCCAGGCCAGUCACUUCUUACAAAUCUCUUCUGAUUACAAAACCUAUAUAGCCCACUAUCCAAGCUGCCACAUUCGCAUGACCUGGACCCAUGAAAUAGGUGUUUCUCCUAGAGGCAACAUUUGAAGGAAACUAACCUUAACAGAUGCUCCAUCCCUGUCACUCAUCUUUGCUGCAUGAACUUACUCCAAAUUCCAGCUCGGCACUAGACAAUGUCUUUCACCAUGACUUGAAUAAAGCCAUUUUUUGUUUGUUUGUUUAAUCUUAACUCCUGUCUAAUAGGUCUAAGUGAAAAUGCUACCAUUUCUACAGAGUGUAUAGCAGGCCAGGCAAUCCCAGAGUCCACUUAUAGAGGCAGAAACUCAGCUCCAUGAGUUGAACGACUUGCCUAAGGACACAGAGUGAACUCAGCAGCUACUGCCAAAGCCCUCUACCUCUAAGCCAUUCUCUAAUUCCAGACAGGCUUAAACACGAACUUUCAGAUGCCACCUUCUCACACUUCCCAGUCCUUUUUUCUACCAUUCCAUCUGGCAAAUGCCAUAAAUAUCUGCCCUAGAGAUAUUUAUGCAGAGUGCUUCGAGCCUACUUCCUUGUCUCAUGUCUACCUGUCCACUCACCAUUUCCACACCGGCCAUGCGCCCUUUCGCAUUCUACCCUUCUGAGUUCUUGCCCAUUCCACUCCACUCCACUCAGAAUUCAAAUUCCUAGCCUUCUGUGAUUGGGUUAUGGGUUGAAUUGUGUCCCUGUUCAUAUAUCUAACUCACAUGUCGGAAGACUUGACCCCCAAUAACUCAAUGUGACCUUAUUUGGAAGUGUUGUCACUGUAGUUGCAAUGAAGCAGGGUAGACAUCUCAAUGCAACAUGCAUGUUGUCUUUACACAAAAAGAGAUUUGGCCACAAAUACACACAGAGAGAAUAGAGAUGAAGGUAAGGACCAUGGUGAUGGUUCCAUGAGCCAAGGGAUGCCCAAGACUGCCAGCACCCCCAGAGCUGGGAGCAGCAGAUCCUUCCUGACAGCCCUCAGGGAAUCAACACCACUGACCCUUCAUCUCAGACUGCCAGCUUCUAGUACUGAUGGACAAUAUAUCGUUAAGCCACCCAGUUUGCAAUAUUUUUAACAACCUAGCUAACAUUCCAGUCCAUUUCGCAAGACCCAGUACAAGUGUUUCCGCCUCUAACUCCCUAAGCCAUUUCUAAGGGUGAUCAGGCUGCUGUAGCAAAAUAUCACAGGCAUGUUUUAUGCAAACAGAAGACUAAGUUUACCUCUAACGGCUCUGAAGGCUGCUGUCCAGUGAGGGUUUGUGUCUUCAGUUAGUCAUCCUCUCACUUGGUCCCCAAAUGUCAUAAGGGAUAAGGGUCUCUCUGGAGACCUUUUAUAAGACUUUUAAUCCCAUCCAGAAGGGCUCUGUUCCACAAUCUACUCAUCUCCCAAAGGCUCUUCUUCCUAAUACCAUUACCUUAGGGUGAGAAUUUAACAUUUGAACAUGACAGGGUUUCCUGUAUGUGUGGGCAGCUGGGGAUAGGUGGUGACACAAACAGUCACACCACAGUAUGCUGUAGCAUAAUCACUUUUUCUAUGUCUCUGCUGUUUACAACAGAAGCUGAGGUUUUAAGAGCAAGCCAGCCCCCUUUCUCUCUGUGCUCAGUAAAUGCAUGCUGAGAAGAAGACUGAGGAAUGGCAUAUUCUUGUUGGUACACCCAAUCUGGCUGUUUGCCUAGGCUGCAAUUCUUUGAUUAGUAGAAAGAGGACUGAGCUGAGAUUCUGGUCUCCAAAGAGACAGCUUUGAGUUGAAUCAGCUUCCCAGAUGUGCCCUGGGUUCACAGAACCAAUCCAAAGAGAAGCAAAAAUCUGAACUGGUCGUAAAGGCUUUUUAUCAGGGGUGAGAGCAGAACAUUUCACAAACCAGAGGGGAGAGGCUACAAGUUCAGUCAUGAGAGGCAGGAGAAGGAGGCAGGGAUACAGGAGAGCUUGACCAGUCGAAGUCUAGGCUUGUGUAUAGAGGGAAACAGAUUACAACACAGCCUGGUGCCUGCUGCCUGAGUCCCAGAUCAGUUCCAUGGACUCCUGUCUGGAUUGAGGAGAAAGACUGAGCCAUUAGAAAAGCUGGACAAAUCUCUUCCCUGAAAGCCAUGUGGUACUCUGGGCCCUCAGCAGCUUAGCCUGUGUUGAUGCCCACUAUGUCAGAGGUAGGAGGAGAGCAGGUAGACAGUGCCGUGUUCUCUUGCAGAUCACACCCCGUUGGCAUUGUGGGAAGGGGCAACAUGGCUGCUGUGCUGACAUCAUGAGCUGCUUCAAGGUCACUUUCAUCCUAGAAUGUCUUCUUAAAAACUUGGGAGCUAAGGUUUUAUGUCACCUCUCGGGCUCAAGGAAAGAGUGGAGGACCCUGGAAUUUGACUUGGGGUGGUGGUGGUGUGCAUGAUGGGUACAUGUGUGUUGCAGACACAGCACCACUGAGUAGCUAAGUCACAAUAUAAUCACUAAUACCAACUCUCAGUGCAAAGAGCCCAAAAUCAUUUUCAUAAUGUUGAAUGACACUGGUUCUUGCAGAUUUGCCAAGUUUCUAAGGUCACCAUAAGGUAGAAACUUAGACUCCACAAUUGCAAGAGACUUCAGUGAUCAAGGGCAGUGAAUUAUGACUUUAGCUGUACAAUGGGGGGAUUCUUUUUUAACGCAAAGGUUGUGAUUGGAGGUGUAAUUCAACAGCAGAAUGUUUGCCCAGCAUUUUAAAGGCCCUGUGUUUGAGUCUCAGCACUGAGAAAUAAUAAAUAAACGAGAACAUUUUUAUAAAGGUUACCCUCACCAGAUCAAUUAAAUCAGAAUUCCUGGGCUAGAACCAAGUAUUAUAUAAUUCUGCUGAUUUGUGUUAAGAUUUGUGGAGAUUUGAAUGAAAAUGGACACCCCCCUCGGGUCAUAUAUUUGAAUGCUUGGUUUUUAGUUGGUAGAACUGUUUGGGAAGGAUGUUUGAAAAGUAUGGCCUUGUUGAAGGAGGUGUGUCACUGGGGUUGACUAUGAGGUUUCAAAAAGCCUGCACCAUUGCCAAUUAAUCCUCUUUGCCUCGGGCUUGUGCAUCAGAUGUGAGCACCCAGCUAUUGCUCCAGCACCAUGUCUACUGCCUGCUGUCAUGAUUUCCACCAUGAUGUCCUUUUUCAUCCUCUGAAACUGUAAGCAAGCCCCCCAGUGAAGUGCUUUCUUUAAUAAGUUGCCUUGUGUCACUUCACACCAAUACAACAGUGACUAAGACAAAAACACAACAGCUUAAUGUUUUCAUUGUCAACAAAAUUAAGUGAUAGCAUGAUUCAUAGGAGAGAAAUAAAAAGCUAUUUAAAGAACAGGACUAUGUUUUUUUCAGAGGUAGGACUCUGAAUCAGGUGCACUGGGUUCAACUCGUAGCCUGUCACUUACUUUCUGUGAACCUAGAAGACAUUACUUGGUCUCUUGUUUUCUUCAUAUUUCAAAUGAAAACAGUAGCUACCAUCUCACAAGGCAGUUGUGAGUGCUAGCUUGAAUUGUAUUGUCCAAGUGCCUCAAACUACACUUGGCAUGAUGCUCAAGUGCUGUACAAACAGUUGUUAUUACUUUCUCACAGGGCAAGCUUUUCACAGAACCAGGCUUAUACUUGAAAUUUAUGAGACAGUUUUCUGUCUCAUAAAUAGGCUUUCAUACGGGAUUCUGCCUUUGGAACAAGGGGCGCAGAAAUUAAAAACGCAUGUAUGUAUGCACAUUGGGCAAUUAAUAAUCUACAGCUUUGAUGUUAUGUCAGAAAAGAUGAAUGGUCUCAACUAUCUAGCAGAUGCCAUUCUAGGAACCAACACCUAGGACAUUAGAAAUGGCCAUGAGGAAAAUGGCUCUAGGAUUAAAAUGAAAAUCUUUUUUUUUUAUGAUGUGGAGUGUUUCAAGCAAAAUGGAAUUGCGUUUAUGAAUCUGCAUCUUAUAAAAUUAUAUUUCUAGGGGCUAAAGGGAAUUAUCAUGAGCCUUCAUUACAGUUCAAGGGAUGGGCAAUAAAAAUGCUUUCUGAGAGAGAGCAGGCAGAUGAGAAGAACAGAGAGGCUAGGUGAGCUAUCUUGACUUUUAAACAGCUAGAAGCCCCUAUAAAUUCCUCCACGACCCCAAAAGUUGGUGUUUUUAAAUUAAAUUUAAAUUACUUAACAAUUUUAUACACACUUAACCUUUUUAUUUUGUUAGUGGAUGUUGUAUUUGUUUGGUAACUUACAACAGGUUCAAAUUAGAUAUCUGAAUAUUUAUCUUCAUGAUUUAGAGUGAUUCUCACAGAGGAUGGGAUGUUCCUGAGGGACACUGGCUCCUUACCUGUAAGCAUCACUGAAGAGCUAGGCAAUGGGUCUGGAAUGGCUUCUAGCUCUGUCAAUGCAUUUUGUCAGGGUUGCCUUCUACACUUCUGAUGUGUUCAUACCGAGCAUCAUCAGAAUCUUCUAGAAGGGAAGGAGAGCUCCACUAGAGGUGUGUUCACACUGAAGGGGAGAGCUCCACUAGAGGUGUGUUCAUACUGAAGGUGAGAACUCCACUGGAGGUGUGUUCACACUGAAGGGGAGACCUCCACUAGAGGUGUGUUCACACUGAAGGGGAGAGCUCUACUAGAGGUGUGUUCACACUGAAGGGGAGAGCUCCACUAGAGGUGUGUUCACACUGAAGGGGAGAGCUCCACAGAGGUGUGUUCACACUGAAGGGGAGACCUCCACUAGAGGUGCUGUUCGCACUGAAGGGGAGAGCUCCCCUAGAGGCGCUAUUCACACUGAAGGGGAGACCUCCACUAGAGGUGCUGUUUGCACUGAAGGGGAGAGCUCCCCUAGAGGCGCUAUUCACACUGGCUUCACCAGGCUCCUGUACCUACUGGUAUUUUGUUGUUAUAUUCCUUCCUUCAAGGACCCUUUUUUCCUAAAAUCUUGGAAACACAUCCUUCAGUGACUCUUUCAUCCAAGACCCAUUAGAAGUCAGUUCUCUUAGUCUUUGGAAGUGUCUUCCCUAAGGGUGAGGUCUGUGAGAUUUGACUUCUACAUUAAAGCUCUUGGCCAGAAGGUAGCACAUGUCCUUGGCCCCAGAACUUGGGAGGCAGAAGCAGGCAGAUCUCUGUGAAUUUCAGGCCAGAAUGGUCUACAAAACAAGUUCCAGGAAAGACAGGGCUAUUACAUAGAGAAACCUUGUGUCAAAAAAUAAAACAAAACUAAAAGUUUUUGAUGAAUAAUUAUUUUGUAAUUUAUGAACCCAUAAAUACAUGGAUAAUAAAGGAGACAAAAAUAAAACCCUUGGAAGCCCCCAAAAAACGUGACCAAGAAAAAGUAUCAAGCAAGUUGAAGAAAGUCAAACUUAAAGCUGUCUUGCUUUUUGUUGAAGGAUCAUUAAGAAUGCAGACAGUGGCAGCAUCAGACAGAGCUGUACAUGGGAGUGAAGAGCAUGGCUUGAAACAGGGAGGAUCAGGACCCAGGAGAAAAAUUGUUUCCCUAGACGCCUUCCUCACCUCUUGCUCCUGGUGAUGUAUCUCAAUCCUAGCAAAAGAAUGAUAUUUACUUUCCAGAGAAAGUAAGAUAAAAUCCACUGGGCUAGAUGGUACAGACUGAGUUACACAUGUGUCCACCACAGGAUCCAGUGGAAGGAGAUGAUGCUGCUCACUCAGCUUUCAGAGGGGUUUCAUCCAGAAUCUUUCCUUCCUGGUAAAAGAACUGGAAAGAUAGAAAAACCAUCUCUGAGGACUGUGAUGGGUCCAUAAAUAAAAAAUAACCAUCCUGAUACCUAGGUUUCCUAAGCACUUGACUCAGCCCGAUCACUGCCCUGACAUUUACUCAGAACCUCCCAUCAACUUUUUAAAUUCUCCACAAAUAGACAUGAUCAGACACCCAAGACAGACAAGGGAGGACUCUAACAUGCAAGAUAGAGAUCAACUAGGCAAACUACAAACAGAGAAAAUAAAUAAAUGAAACAGUUUGGAGGAAAAAUAAAUUAUAUUUGGAGAGAAAACUUCAAAAUAAAGUUAUUAUUAAUGUCCUUAAAGAGAUGAACAAUGAUAUGAAAUCCCAGAAACAAGGUUGGAAUGUUACUUCAAAAGCCACAUUCAGGAAACAUAAAAGUCUCAGAGAUUAAAAACAUGGCAGAAUUGAAACUCUCAACAGAAAGCUUGGAAGGGUGUGUUGAAUCUAACUCCUAGGAAACAGCAAAAAGGCAAUAGAAAAAACAGAACCAAUGGUUAUAUAGAAUAUAACUAUAACUAUGUAUUUAUGUUUGCUAUUAUAUAAAAACAUAUUAAAUUGUACACUAUAUUAUAGACCAUUGUAUUUUUAUGAGGAAGCAAAGGCAGGCAGGUCUCUGUGACAUCAAGGCCAGUCCUGUCUCAAAAAACAAAACAAAACAACACUGUAUUAAGCAAUCUAGGAAAGUCAAUAUCUACAUGGAAUAGCAGAAAAAGAGAAUAAAGAAAAUUAAUGAGGAAAAAAUAAUGAUUUAAGAAAAAGUCUGUGAGCUUCCAGAUUGAAUAGCUCACAAAAUUCUCAGAACAAUGCAUGAAAUAGACUCCUACAAAGGCAUAGCUUUAAGAACUUCCAAGCACGGGGCAGGAAGAUCUUAAAACCCUUUAAAAGGCAAAUUCAAGUCAUAGACACUAAAAAACCAAACAGACUUACAAUAUGUAAACAUUGAUGAUUGAGCUAAAUAAAACUAUAUUAUGACUAUUAAAAUAUGAGGGUCUGGGAAAUGUACAUGUACAUAGUUGGAACAAAAGGAGAGAACUCCCUAUCAGCUAUUUUUCUUUCUGUUUUGUCAAAACACCCAACCGCAGCAACUUAGGAAGGGUCUAUUUGAGUUCAAGGUUUAAGAAAGGAAAUGGUCUAUCAUGGCAGAGAAGAUGGCUCUUGGUAACACUGCGCCUGUAGUCAAGAAACAGAUACAAACACUGAUUUUUUUAAAAAAAAUUCAGUGCCUAGCUUAUGGAAUUGUGCCACCAAUUCUAGUUCUCUAAUUUCUCUAGAAGUGCCCUUACAGAUUCCCACAGAGGUUUGUUUCCAAAUCUUCAUCUUAUGAUAUGGAAAUACUUAUUUUGUUAUGCUCUGGCCUCUACUGAUUUUGAUGAGAAGUUAUUGAAAGUCUAGUUGUUGGUCCUCUGUAUGGAAUCUGUAUUAUCUGAAUGUCUUAAAGACUUGCUGGUGUCAAUUACCUUUCUGUGGUUUCCCCCAAUUUUCAAGUCAUGGUGAAGAUCUAAAGGGCCUUGCUAAGUAAGAUUUAGGAUCUUUUAAGAAUCCUUAUAGUGGGGUUGGGGAAAUGGAACUGUCAGUAAAGUGCUUGCCACAUAAAAAUGAGGAAUGGAAUCCCCAGCGCACGCACACACACCACACACACACAGAAAGAGAGAGAGCAGGUUUAUCAGCAUGUACCUCUGAUUUCAGUACAGGGGAAGUAGAGACAGGAUGAGUUCCAGGUUCAGUGAGAAACCAUGUCUCAAAAUAUAAAGUGGCCUCAACUAUGUGUGCAUAUACAUAUACAUGAACAUGUUCUCUCUCUCUCUCUCUCUCUCUCUCUCUCUCUCUCUCUCACACACACACACACACACACACACACACACACACACACACACACACGUGUUGUACAGGGGUGCAGUUGCUUACUGGGCUCAUCAACAUCCCUGGAUGAAAAUUUCUACCCACAAGGUUAAAUCAAUGGAGACAGUAGAAGAGCCUCUGGAAAACAUUCAGAGUCACCAUGAGUAAUGAAUGAGUCUUUCCUCAGAAAAAGCAUACUCAGUGGGUACAAGGUUAUGAAACGCUGUUGAUUUUGGAAAGAACUGAAACCAAUUUGGGCCUUGCAAUUCUUCCAGGAGCAUAGCAGGAAGGAUUCUAUAAGGCUUCCCCAUCAUUUCAUUGCUGCCUCGUUUUCCCUUCCAUCCCCAAACUAUGGAAGAGUUGAGAGGAGAAUCGUGUGAGCUGAUUGUCACUGGUAGUCUGUGUGAGACUCAACAGUGGCAAUAGGUACAUUUAGAAUUGAACCGCUAGCAAUUUAUCUUACCUGAAAUCAAGAAUAGUGGAAUAGAUUUGUUGGCAGCAAAAUUCUCACAAGCUUGUUUUAUUUGGAAAAAGGUUUUCAGAAUCACUUUCUUCUACUUUAGAGGAAAAAAAACACACUGUCAACGAAAAUGCAAAUGAAGAGAAUAACCAAGUGAUAAUUAGCAUAGGAUAUUUUGACACCCGAAAUUCCUUCAUCUCCCAUUGACCUUGAACAAGUCAUUUCAGCACAGCCUUACCGCCACAUGUUUGGGAAGUUUAUUAAAUUCACUCUGUGGACUGUCUGCUGCAUGUGAAAAUGAAGUGCAAGACAUUUUGUUCCUUUCAAAUUUAUAGAGAGUCUGUAAAAUAACAUAUUCAGCAAGAACCAUCAAAUGUUCACUUUUGCGCACAAAUGGUAGUCCAAAUAAUCAAACAGAACUUUAUAUAUAAAUGUUAGCAUCAUCCCUGUUAUGACUUUCAAAAGCCUAAACACAGUGGUUCCCAGUUGCAAAUGCAACUCCACCCAGUGCAUCCUGCCUCCUGUUGUCUUGGUGACCCAUUGGUAUUGAAUACAGAGGAGGGGAAGUAACUCAGCAAAUGAGCAAGAGGGCCAAUCUUCCCUUCUUGCCAGAACCCUUGCAUUUUGUUUCCUAAUCUUGUUCAUCCUCAUGCAAUUAAGCUGCAAAACAUGCUUCUCCAAGAACCUGUCAAAUGUACGACUUUCAAAGAUCGCGCUGGAGUUGAAGAAGCUUGAUCCUUUACAUACAAAUGGCAUUUAGUUUACUCUAAGAGGAAAAUGAUAAAUCCAUCAAGACUUUCGGGCUUAAAUUGCUUUCAAGGACCCUCAACUUAAUUAAAAGAGGACAAUAUACAAAAGAAGUUGACCUUUUCCAUGUAAGCUCUAAAUAUGCCAUCAUUAAUGAAUUUCAUUACAGGAGAGACUACAAUGAACAACUGUAGUUCAGUUCAGCAUUUAAGUGCAGAUAACAAACUGGCAGACCAGUGGUUAUCAUUUUAAGUAGUUAAAACACUGUGACUAAGCCAUUCUCCUAAAAUGGACAAAUUAAUAUAUUCUAAAGAAUACAUUUUAUUUAGAAUGUAGGGGUCAUAUUAAUGAUCUCUCAUUCUCCUUUCAGAGAGGAAGAAUUAUGGGGCUGACUGGGUUUCCUUCUUUGCAGUUGUGUGAACCUUCAUUAUGCUACCCCCUUGAAGGGAAUUAGUUUUACAGUAACGAAUAAAUAGCUAAAACAAAAUUUGACAUUGUAGUGGGAGAAAAAAAAAACCACCUAAUUUUAAGAGCAAAUGUCCAUUAUAAUGUGCUGACAAAUUCAAAGCAUCCAUUCUGAGCAACGAAUGCACAAGGAAACUCCACAACAGUGGGUAACAGAAAGGAGAUAUCCUGACUGGAUUUUUUCCUAAAAUCUCACCUCAAGUACCAAGUACUCUCCUUCAACAGUUCUACAUAUCUUUCAACAGUUACUCUAAAAAUGAAAUGAAGGAAAACAAAACACUGUCUGUGAAAGACCCUGCCCCUCUGUCUUCCCUGCCUGUGCCGGUGCUGGGUGUUCUCUCUGGAGCAGGCGGGAGGAGCAGAUGACUGAGAGCAGCGCGGUGGGGACUGAGCAGGGCCAGGGUUCGGCCAGGGCUGGAGAAUGCAGUGCGGGCGGCGCCUGGAAGGGGAAAUUGAGUGGGAGAGCAGCGAUGGUGCUGCUUGUCCAGGAGCUGCGAGCGGGGAGCCUCCUCCAAGGCCAAGGACACGGGGGGGGCUGCGGAGCUGCCGGGGCCUCCCAAGCCUUCACCCUGGCAGGGCUCGCGCCCCCGGCCCGCCCCGCCUGGCACCGCGCCUCGGGGCUGGGGCCGGGCAACGAGCACCAGGUGGGCCGGCCCAAGGGCGAGCACCAGGUGCGUUGGCCCGAGGGCGAGAGCACCAGUUAGGCCUGCCCGGGGCCCCGCCCCCACACCCCCACCUGAUGAGAAAUACUCCGUCCCAAGGUCUCCACCCCCAAGGUCAGCCAUCUGGACGCGGAGGGGGGGAAUUGAGUCUGUUGUACCAAACACCAGACCUUGAGAAUAUGCUGAUCUGGAAUGGCUCUGUGUCUCAUUUGAACCAUCCAAUAGAAAUGAUUCUGUGUUUUGCCUCAUUUGAAUGACUCUGUAUUUCACCUCAUUUGAAUAACCCUGAGUAGCGCCUCAUUUACAUUGACCAAUGGGAAUAGCUCUGUACAAUGCCUCAUUAGAAUUAUCCAAUAGAAUCCCUGCUUCUAGCUUGCGCCUUUUUCCUAUAUAAGGACCCCUUUCCCUUGGCUCGGCGCACUUGGCCUCACAGAAGCUAAGUCGCCCGGGUACCCGUAUCUCCAAUAAAGCCUCUUGCUUUUGCAUCCAAGUCCGUGGUCUCGCUGAUUCCUGGGUGCGGGUCUCCUUCUACGAAAGUACCUCUUCAGGGGUCUUUCAUGAAAGGAAUUAGUUAAGAACAGGGUAGGCGGGGCUAGAGAGAUGGUAAAGAGCACUGGCUGCUCUACUGAAUUCAGGUUCAGUUCCCAGAUCUACAACAAACAAUUAAAUUUCAAGAAAAAUAAUAAUAACUUUUUAUUUUUGUUUUUCGAGACUGGGUUUCUCUGUGUAGCUUUUGAGCCUGUUGGAACUCAUUCUGUAGACUAGGCUGGUCUAGAACUCACAGAGAUCCUCCUGCCUCUGCCUCCUGAGUGCUGGGACUGAACCAUCACCUGGCCUGUAAAAAAAUCUUUUAACUAAGAACAUCAUAUGCAGAUGAAUUUGCUGCAGAAUUCUACAAGAGCUUUAGAGAUGUGAUGCUGAUCCCUUUAGCAUCAUUCCACAAAGUAGAAAUGAAGAAACAUUACCAAACUUUUUUUAUGGAGCUAGUAUUACCGUGAUAUCAAAAAUCAGACAGAUAACCAAGAAAGUUACAGACUGUAUCCUCAAUGAACAUAGACACAAAAAGUCUUACUAUAGCACAUUAAAAUUAAAUUCAAGACUGUAUCAAAAGGACCAUUAACUAUGAUUCAGUUAGCUUUGUUCCAAAACUGUGGGAACGGUUCAACAUAUGAAAAUCGGUAAAGAUGGCAAAGUUACUUGAAUGGACUCAAGCAUAGAAACCAUUGCAUCAUCUAAGUAGAUAUGGAACAGGUCUUGGACAAAAUUCAAUAUCUCUUCAUGGUAAAACUCCAAAGAGAUUAGGAAGAGAAGGAUCAUAUCUCAAUCCAAAAGGCUAUAUACAACAAACUAUAGUCAACAUUAUGUUAAAACAGAGAAAAUCUCAAAGCAGUUCCACUAAGUUCAGGACUAUUCCACACAGUACUUGAAGUCUAAACUAUUAUAGCACUAACAUAAGAGAAGGAAAUAAGAUGGAUGCACCAACUGAAACCACAGAAUUUCCCAGGGUUCCCUUGAUCUGAAGGAUUUAAAGAAGUGAGAGUCUGACUGUCAUGAACCUAAGAGUAAUAGAAUGUCUCUCUCCAUAUGCUCAAAACAAGUACAAUGCUGCCAGCAGUCCCUAGAGGAUUCUGUAACCUUCAUGACACAUUGCAUGGUUGCAGAUCAGCUCACUCAUGUCACACGCUCUUUCUGCUCAGAAUGCCUGGUUGUGUGGUGGCCAGUCCUCUAUUGAGGUUAGUCUCACAGUGUAACUGUCAGUGGGUAACACAUAAACUCAGUUUUAGUGAGAUUUAACAUUUUGGUCCCAGAGUUAGCUUCAGGAACUGCAGAUGGUAGACAAGCAAAUUAGAUUCUACUAGGAAGGCACAGUUGGAUAAAUUGAGAAUACAGACAAUCUGCAAGGCCCUAUUCUCUUCCAAAGCACUUUGGUAAGAGGUAACAAACAUUCUCGUGCACUUAGUCUAAUUGUAUUUGCUACUUUGAACAUAUGCAUAGCCCUGUCUUAGAAAACAACUUGUCCACUCCCAAAGGCAAUGUAAAUAAAAUCUAUGAACUCAAUAGGUGUUGAAUAGCUCAAAAUGAAUUGUUCAAGAAACAACAAAACACCAUUGUGCCUUUAGAAAUAAUAAGGAAGAAUUUGAUUCCAUGAAAUCAUUUGUUAGUACAGUAUGAGUAGUUAUUCUAGGCAUUGCAAAUUCAGGCUUAUUUGUAACCAAAUUACAGAGAUACAGAGGGAGGAUUUAAUCAUACUGUCAUGGUCAUGUUUUUUUCAAACUGGAGAGGCUGUGGUUUCUUUUAGUUUAUUAGUCCUCUGAGGUCACGAAAGCCCCUCUAACAGCUUGAAAUUAACUUGUGUACUUAAGGUAGCCCAAGACUAAGUUAGAAUUACAAUGUUAAGAUAGCUAGUGGGUACAUUCAAAUAAGUUAAUUAUAUUUAAAAAAAAAACACUUCCCCAUAUAUUUGCCACCCAAGGCUCUUAUGAGAUUUACUAUUUCAGCAAAAGUGGGGCUCAAACAUACAAUGAAAUUGACUAUAUUGCCUAGAACCACAAUGGUGCUAUUUCCAGGCCAUCUCAUUAGCAUAAAUAUUAGUAGCCAACCUAUUUGGAACGCCCUUGGAAAAGAAAUAUGUGAAGAAUAUCAAAAGAACAUAGCUCUUUUGGAGCAGGGCCUUGUUUACAAAACUUUACAACAAAGACCAACAUUAGAUGAGUGUAAUGGUUUCAUUACCUCCCCAGAGGACUAUAAAAAGAUGUCAAGUCACUUUAGAAUCUGCUGAGUUUGGAGUAAAUUAGCACAAAGUUGUACAAUGUCUUUUGCCUUGAGAAAGAAUAAACAUUUAGAAGAAAUUAGAAGCAAAGAUGAUUGCUUCCGAUUUCCUAUCUGGUGGGUCCUAAUAAAUUAAUAGGGUGCCAUCCAUACUUUGGCUUGAGGUGUUACUUACUCUUCAAAUGACAUCUGAUCUUGAGAAAUAAAGAUCUGCUCAGUCAUGCUUACUCCCAUGGGGCACCGCAGCUACUUUGUCCAGCUGAACUCACAGAGGGGCCUCAGGCCUGCACGAUGAACUAUAAUGAAGGCAGACCAAAGCAUUGCAGCAAAUGCAGUACCUUUUCUGUAAUAUAACUCUGUAAUAUUUAGUGUCUCCCAACCCCAAGGUCAGCUAGCCCUUUGAAACAGUCAUCCUAGUGGAAUCGCUAGAGUAGCAGUUUUCAACCUGUGGGUCGUGAUGCCUUUGGGGGUUGAAUGACCCUUUCACGGGGGUUGCACAUCAUAUAUCCUGCAUAGCAGAUAUUUACACUAAGAUUCAUAACAGUAGCAAAAUGACAGCUAUGAAGUAGCAAUGAAGAUGAUUUUAUGGUUGGGGGGUCAGCACAACACGAGGAGCUGUGUUAAAGGGUCAAAGCAUUAGGAAGGCUGAGAACCACUGCUCUACAAUAGAUUUGAAGUCUCUCCACCUCUGAUUUCCAUCGAAGAGGCAAGUUAGUCCUUGAGGCAUUGUUUUCUCAUCUGUGACAUGGUGAUAAAGUAACUUCAACUCUCAGAACCAUUGAAGGAAUGUAUGAGAAAAAUCACAAUGGCCCUCAGAAUUUGGUCUUCGUACCACCUUCACCCUCAAUGCUCUACAUCUGCUGCAGAUGUUUUGAUGGAGGGGUAAUCAGCCUUUGUGAGGGACUCCAUGUCCUAGUUGGUGACAGGAAGGCAAACUGAUGUAAAGUAUCAUCUAAUAUCUGUGAGGACUUCUACUGUGGGCUCCAGAAUUCCUCAGGGAGUCAGGAUGCAGGCACCUCAGCAGCCCUUUGCAGAGUAAAAAUUUUCCCACAUGAUCUAAUAUCACACCAUUCUGUGGUCAGCAUGGCUUUGGUUCCACUUUGUUCUCUACAGUUGUUAAGGCACAGCGGGCGGUGGGGUGGGGCUGCUCACACUAUGCUUGAGAACAGGGAAGGGAAAUUAUGGUUUUAUUCUGUUUAUAAGCAAAUUAACAGCCCCACACUGUUCUCAUCGGGUCUAGGGCAACUGACAGCAUGUCCCUAAGGUCCUGAGGCACCCAUCAGUUCAGGUCAAGCUAGUUCCUUGUGACUUAUGAUAAUGGCUCUCCUUAUGGAGGAAACGGGUUCCCACCUGACAUGAGGGGGAAAAUGAUGUUAGUUUGGGUAUCUAUUAUGAUGCUAUUGCUCUGAAAAUGAGUGGGAAGGGGCCUAGAAAACGUGGAAUUGUACUGGUGUUCAUUGCUGCACUAGUCACAUAACUAGGUUACAGAGUCAUCCUGACGCCAUCUGUGGAUGAGUGGGAAUAGAAAAUGUGCCUUAGGGCUUGGGAGGUGGCUUGCUGUGUGAGUCUGAUGCUCUGAUGGUGGAAGAUGAGAACAGACUCCCAAAAGUUGUCCCCUGAUCCCCACAUGCAGGCUAUGGCAUGCACAUGGUGUACAUGUAUGUGUGCUUGCACACAUGAAUGGGUGUGUAUGCACUCACACCCCCCCCCACAAACCACAGAUAUACUAUUAAUACUACCACUGCUAAGAGUAAUAAACAUUUUUAAAAGAGAGAAGGUGGCAUAUAGACACAGCAGGGUAUUAUUCAGCUGCACACAAGAAUGAAGUCAUGGCAUUUGCAGGAAUAGAGAUGGAGCUGAAGAGCCUUAUCUUAAGUGAAACAAAGCAGAUCCAGAGAAACAAACGCCACAUGAUUUCUAUCAUACACAGUAUCAAUUUUCUAAAAAAUAAAUGGGACUAGAAGGAUGUAUGUUUGUUGGCAGAGGUGCUUAUAGGGGCAUGGAGGGAGGCAAAAAAUGUUAAAAGACGAGUGGAUAUGAUUGCAGUUCUUGGAUGGAAAUGUCACAAUGAUGUCAUACAAAUGACAUAUGCUAAUAGAAUUUUUUCUUUUAAAUCACUGGCAGUGCUAGGGAGAUGGCUCAGUAGGUAAAAUGCUUGCUAUCCAAGCACAAGGCCCCAGGUUCAGAUCCCCAGCAGCCACAUAAGAAUAAAAAAGGGGGUCAGGGAGUAUUUAAUGUGCCUGUAAUCCAGUGCUAGCAGUGGGGUGGAGGGGAGAGACAAGUCAUGCUCUGAGCUUACUGGGCAGUCAGUGUAGCCAAGGGCAGAGCACAUAUUCAGGGAAAGACCCUGUCUCAAAAAACAGUUUAGAAAGCAGUAGAGGAAGACCCUGCAUUGACCUGUGGUCUCUGUACACAGAAAUGCCCACGCAUACACACACACACACACACACACACACACACACACACACACACACACACACACCAAAAGCAAUAGAUUUUUAAAACUCAAGGGUUCUCUGACAAUACUUUCAUUCAGCAAAUGUGCUGCUUUUUCCUCUUGUUUUCUUACCGGUGUCUGAUAAUUUAUUGAGUUUGUAUGCCAUGCAUUUAAAAUAAAUUCAAAUCUUCCUGGGAUUAAAGAAAACGCUUAUGCUCCUAGAACUCUUGUGUGGCUGAGCAACAUGGUAGUGCAUGUUUAUAGUCUCCUCACCGGACUGGAUUUACUUUGGGGAAAUGUCUUCUCUACAGAGCCAGUCUGAUGUUUCCAACGGCCAAACAUCAUGGAAUUAGUUUUUGAAGGGGAAAAAAUCACACUAUUAAAACUGUUAGCAAAAAAGAAAUCACCGAGAGGCCUUUGCUGAGCACAGAGCCUGUCUGGGGCCAAAGCAGCUGAGGACACACUGAAGGAGCUUGGCCGUUAGUGGCCAACGGAAAUUCUGAAGCAUAGCUAGAGCCAGCUCACCGACCAGCCCAACCACAGACAGCAGCCUGCAGCUGCAGGCUCUGGGAGGCAAACUGUGGCCAUGAAAAGAGCGAAGAUUUGGACACACACACACACACACACACACACACACACACACACAGUCAGAACAAGUCCAGUUGCCCAGUGGUGUCCAAACAAGGCAUUCUUUAGGAAAAAAUUUUAAAAAAUGACAACUCUGCAUUUUGGACAGAAAGUGUUCUGGUUUAUUAAUACCCUUUAUUUUUAUAGCCUGCACAUUUACUUUUUAAUCAUUUGUUUCUUGUUUGUGAAAGUAGUUUGCCUAAGCAUCUAAUGUCCCUAUUGAUUGCAUUCAUCAACAUUUGUAUUAUGGUAUCACUUUCUGGUCACUAUGGUGUUUACUUUUGUCUGUAGAUUUUAUUGUUUAAUUUACACAUAAGAUAAACUGUUGUGUGAUAUUUUGAUUGUGUUCUGAUAAAUAAAGCUUGCUUGGAGUCAGAGGGCAGAGUUAGCCACUAGCUGACCAAAAUUAACUACACAGAGGUUUUGGAAGACUGAGGAUAGAUAGGACAGGAAGUAGUAAGGUGGGCAGAAAGGGAUCUGGCUCACUGUCUGGAGGAAGGGACAGAGCAGGUAGGGAUGACUGGUGGCUUCUCUGAUCUUUCAAGCUCUUACCCCAAUAUCUGACUUCUGAAUUUUUAUUGAUAAAGAAUAAUUAGAACAAUGCUUCAUCAUACAGGUGUACAUAGUUAUAGGAUGCCAUGUGACAUUCUGGUAUGUUCAUAUGUUGUAUCAUCUUUAAAUCAAAUAAUCAUAAUGUGCAUUGAAGAAUACAAAUUAUAUCUUUUAAAAAUGUGUGUAUAUAUUUUGCUUGCAUGAGGCCAGAAGAAUCUUCAAGAGGUCAGAAGAGGUCAGAGGCCAGAAGUUUGACACUAGCUUGCAAAGCCUCAUAGGGCUGCUAUUAAGAAAGAAAUAAAGGAAGAAAGGAAGGAAGGAAGGAAAGGAGGAAGGAAGGAGGGAGGGAGGGAAGGAAGGAAGGAAGGAAGGAAGGAAGGAAGGAAGGAAGGAAGGAGGGAAGGAAGGUGCAUUUGCAUCCGAGACAAUUCCAAAGUUCCACAGUCAGUGUGUUAUGAGUCAUGAGACCUUUAUUUUCUUUCCUUUUUUUUUUCUUGUCUGUUCAUUCCUUUGUUUGUUUUUGAGAUAUGAUCUCCCCAUAACACAGACUGGCUUUAAACACACCAGGUAGUUAAGGAUCGCUUUGAACUCCUGAUCCCUUAUCCUGUAGCCUCCACUUGCUAUUUUCAGUGCCUAGGUUAUAGGCAUAUGCCAUGACACCCAGGUAGUAAUCUUUUUCUUAACUAGUAUAAGCCAGUUUGUGUCUGAAUGAGGCCACAUUGUGAGGACUAGUUAAGGAUUCACCUAAGUGGACAGGAAUUCAGUUAUACGACCAAAACUCCUGGAUUGCUGGAAACAUCUGGAGGGCUGACUCUGAAAGACACAGUCUGAGCCCCAACUGAUAUUUUUCUUGGUGUACAUCCCCGUGUGAGUCAUAAGUGAGCUAAAAAUGGAGUGGCAAAAGGAGACAAUGAAAGCCUGGGCAAAGCAGAGCUCCCCACCACCAAUUACCAUAUGGGUGGCUUCAACUGCUCAGAGUGUGGAACCAGGAAGCGACACUCAAGGCAGUGCUGGGGGCACAAUGAUGAGCAUAGUGGUGUGUGUGUGUGUGUGUGUGUGUGUGUGUGUGUGUGUGUGUGUGCGCGCGCGCGUGCGCAGUAGGGGACUGUGGGGAGACUUGUCUCUUCAGAGUCAAGGCACAAAAGGCACAAGGCAGAUGGGGGGUGGAAGGUAGGGUGGAAGAGCAUAGCCCAAACAAGGGAACCUUGGUUUGAGGCUGGUAGGGAGUAGGAGUAGCUAGAAAGAACUCUGCCCCGUGUUUGCGUAAGUAGAACUUCAUUCAUUCCAGCAAGGCAGAGAGAGGCUUCAGCAUUUGUUAUUCACAGUACACAGUGGUUUUGUUUGUAUGUUUGUUUGUUUGUUUUUCAACAGUAGUGAUCAGUGUUCUGCAUUUUACACAUAAACAGGAAUAAGGAGUGACUAGGGCAUGGAAGGAAAUGCCUGAGAAGAAACUACUUUGUGAUCAAUACCUUAAAAUUGUCAGCCAUGACACAGAGAGAGGUGCAGCCUUAACCCAUCCCUCACAAUAUUCUGAAAGAGUACUUUUCCUUUUUAGAGGCCUUUCUCUGCUCAGUCAAAACCAGUAUUCAUGGUGUCAAGAGGAGGAGGUUAGCAUUGCAAGCUUAGCCAUUAUGCAGCAGAGUUAGAGAGAGAUGUUUUAGUGUAAAUCUAAGCAGGUUAAAAAGAAAAAGACACCAGGGAAGGAAUAGUAGACACACCCAACGGUGGGAUGGGUUUCUCCAGGGAGAGUCACAGUUAGGCUUCUUUACAACAGAUACAGAUAGGAGUUUGGUGGCCUUCAAGUUACAUCUGUAAAGGUUGCUAAGAAGCCUCUCUUUUAUUUUAACACCAGCCCCAAAAUGUAGUUUAUGGGAGGAUGGGAGGGAGAAGGAACUUGGAUUGAUAUGUAAAAUAAGAAUUAAUUAAAAAAAGAAAGAAAAAAGUUAAAGAAUCUUCUUUAAUAAAUAAAUUUGUAAAGUGGACUUAUGAAGGGCAUUGUUUAGACUUAGCCAAGAGAGGGGGGAGCCCACAGACAACACUUUACUUGCCACAUUCAGAAUCACUCUUGGAGAUGUCUCUAGACAAACAUGGGUUCCUCAGUAGAUAAUGUUGACUUUAUCAGUUUCCUGACACCAUCAGUUGGACAGGCAAGCUAGGCCCAGAAACAAUGGGCAAUUUUCCUUUCCUGGCAUGCCUCAAUGUUCCCUGUCUUUUUACCCUGCCUCAAAAUCAUGCUCCUGUCAUGAGGAAUGGCCCACAUACGUGCAGAUGAAAUACUGCUACUAUGCUGAGAGUGUCAAGAAAAGAAUUGAUCCUUCUUCGUAUUACCACACCAGGAAGGAGAUACCAUGAUCUUGUCUGCUCCCAAAGGAGGUUAACUGAAGCUCAGGGAAGCAUCUUUCCAAGCUCUCCACCACCAGCCACGCAGCCAGUCCUGUCUGACUCUGAAAUCCUGAGGUUGUCAAUUUCCUCUGUUGUCAUCUUUAAAUCACUAGUUUCCAAGCCCUUCCACAUACACCACAAUAGUUGGACUUCCCAAUGACUCAGCAAGCAAAGUUGGUAUCAGACCAUAGCUAGCCUCUGUGGUUUUAUCAUCACAGAAGUGCACAUGAUAAUGGUGUCUAAAUCACUCACAGGGCCAUAGUUUCAGAAAAAUUACGGGAUGCGGAACUAUGCCCGUAAUGCAGAAACUAACACCUUUAACUGAGAUGUGGAGCAGCUGGUGGAGACUGUUCUACAGGCCAAGAGUGAAGCUGGGGAGGGGAGAGACUUUCCCCAAGAACAUCAGCCUGGAAUGAAUGGAGCUGGGAUUUAGGGUCAUUUAGGGCUAAGAAUCCUUUGCCCUGUAUCUUCUCAGUUCCAAGUGGUUCAUGACUUUGCUCCACGGCCUUCAGGGUCUUGCCUUCCCCAGGGCUCCUGGCUGCUAGGAUGACACACAUUUCCUCUGGCUGAAGAUGUGUGGAGACUCUGCCUGGAAGCUUGGGAAAGGAAUUUUCCCCAUUUUGUAGUCAGAAACAGCUUAGAAAAGUAUGACUCAGAGCACUUCUUCUUCCUAUUUCCCACAAGCAAGGUCAUGCACUGGGUAUGUUGCCUGAAGGCCUGAUGGUGCAUGAAAUGAUGCACCAUGGAAAUGAAGACAUGUAGCUGAAGAUGCCUGGCUAUAAUCGUGAGUGAGCAACUUUGCAGUAUGAUGAGCCAUAGAGGGAGAGAAGAGUGGAGGAGGUAAAUGUUUUCAGAUUUGCACGUGCAGCAAUAAGAUGCUAGAGCUGAUUGCUAAUUGCUUAAAUAUAUGAAGAAAUUUCAAGAGAGGCAGAACUACAAACAUUUUUCUG
rnacentral:lncRNA from 1 species